CCUACGGGAGGCAGCAGUGGGGAAUUUUGGACAAUGGACGCAAGUCUGAUCCAGCCAUGCCGCGUGCGGGAAGAAGGCCUUCGGGUUGUAAACCGCUUUUGUCAGGGAAGAAACGGGUUUCUCUAAUACAGAGACCUAAUGACGGUACCUGAAGAAUAAGCACCGGCUAACUACGUGCCAGCAGCCGCGGUAAUACGUAGGGUGCAAGCGUUAAUCGGAAUUACUGGGCGUAAAGCGUGCGCAGGCGGUUAUGCAAGACAGAGGUGAAAUCCCCGGGCUCAACCUGGGAACUGCCUUUGUGACUGCAUAGCUAGAGUACGGUAGAGGGGGAUGGAAUUCCGCGUGUAGCAGUGAAAUGCGUAGAUAUGCGGAGGAACACCGAUGGCGAAGGCAAUCCCCUGGACCUGUACUGACGCUCAUGCACGAAAGCGUGGGGAGCAAACAGGAUUAGAUACCCUGGUAGUCCACGCCCUAAACGAUGUCAACUGGUUGUUGGGAGGGUUUCUUCUCAGUAACGAAGCUAACGCGUGAAGUUGACCGCCUGGGGAAGUCGGCCGCAAGGUUGAAACUUCAAAGGAUUGAGGCNGNGNGNGCGAGACGACGACGAGGAGAGG
rnacentral:rRNA from 1 species